rnacentral:rRNA from 1 species
GACGAACGCUGGCGGCGUGCUUAACACAUGCAAGUCGAACGGAAAGGCCCUGCUUUUGUGGGGUGCUCGAGUGGCGAACGGGUGAGUAACACGUGAGUAACCUGCCCUUGACUUUGUGAUAACUUCAGGAAACUGGGGCUAAUACCGGAUAGGAGCUCCUGCUGCAUGGUGGGGGUUGGAAAGUUUCGGCGGUUGGGGAUGGACUCGCGGCUUAUCAGCUUGUUGGUGGGGUAGUGGCUUACCAAGGGUUUGACGGGUAGCCGGCCUGAGAAGGUGACCGGCCACCAUGGGACUGCGGUACGCACCAGAAUCGUACCGGAGGCAGCAGUGGAAAAUAUUACACAGUGGGCCCAAGUCUGAUGCAGCGACGCCGCGUGCGGGAUACCGGCCUUCGGGUUAUGAACCGAUUUCGACUGUAACGAAGACUGAGUGACGGUAAUGGGUAAGAAAGCACCGGCUAACUACGUG